CAGUAGCCACGGUAAUACGUAGGUGGCAAGCGUUGUCCGGAAUUAUUGGGCGUAAAGGGCUCGCAGGCGGUUUCUUAAGUCUGAUGUGAAAGCCCCCGGCUCAACCGGGGAGGGUCAUUGGAAACUGGGAAACUUGAGUGCAGAAGAGGAGAGUGGAAUUCCACGUGUAGCGGUGAAACGCGUAGAGAUGUGGAGGAACACCAGUGGCGAAGGCGACUCUCUGGUCUGUAACUGACGCUGAGGAGCGAAAGCGUGGGGAGCGAACAGGAUUAGAUACCCCAGUAGUCCAUGUCUCUUAUAC
rnacentral:rRNA from 1 species